rnacentral:pre_miRNA from 1 species
UCCCUGAGACCCUAACUCGUGACUCAGCUCCAGCAUCACGAGUCGGGGGCUCGGGGGUG